AUAUUAGGAAGGGAAGUUUUUACUUAAACUCAGUUAAUUAUAAAUUUAAUUAACAUUUAUAUAUUGAAUCUAUGUUGAACUGAAUUUAAGUAAGAAAUUUUUUUUUGGCUCAAGUUAAAGCGAUUCCAAGCUUAAAUAGAUACUUUCUAAUAACAUAAUAUUACAUUUUAAUGAGAAAAAUAUGACAAUGUGUUGUAAGCACAUUCUUAUGAUGCAGGAGUAAGCAACGAUGGCCAAG
rnacentral:misc_RNA from 1 species